rnacentral:rRNA from 1 species
UGAGAGACGGCCCGUACAUCCAAGGACGGCAGCAGGCGCGGAACUUGCCCAAUGCGUGAAGGCGUGAGGCAGCAACGGGGGAUCCCAUGAAAUGGGAAGACUGGGGGGUAGAUGACCCCAGCACAAGUCGAGGGAAAGGUCUGGUGCCAGCAGCCGCGGUAAUUCCAGCUCGGCAGGCGUCGUACGGCGCUGUUGCAGUUAAAACGUCCGGAGUCGAGACGUCCAGCCGGGAGGAAAGAGGAGCGCUUAAGGCGGGAGUGAGUACGAGAAAGCCCGGGACGGACAUGAAGGUGAAUGGGUAAGGGCAUGUGUAUUGGUGGGGACGGGUGAAAUAGGAUGAUCCGACCAAGACAGACAAAGGCGUAGGCACUUGCCAAGACCAUAUCAGUCGAACCAGGACGAAGCCCGGGGGCGAGAAGGCGAUUAGACACCACCGUAUUCCCGGGCGUAAACGAUGCCACCGAGAGACUGGCCAGGUCGUCAGGAUCGAAGGGAAACCGAUCAGGGUACGGGCUCUGGGGGGAGUAUGGCCGCAAGGCUGGAACUUGAAGGCAUUGACGGAGGGGUACCACCAGACGUGGAGUCUGCGGCUCAAUUUGACUCAACGCGAACACCUUACCAGGCCCAGACGUACGGAGGAUCGACGGUUGAGAGGACCUUCGUGAUCGUACGAGUGGUGGUGCAUGGCCGUUCACAGCCCGUGGCUUGAGCCGUCUGCUUGACUGCGACAACGAGCGAGACCCUAACCUGGAUGGGACCGCCAAUGGUGAAUUGGAGGAAGGUGGGGCGAUAACAGGUCUGUGAUGCCCUUAGACGCCCUGGGCUGCACGCGUACUACACUGUGGGGGAUGAAACCACGUCGAGUUGUGAAGCUUGAUGAGAUCAAACCCCCACGUGGUUGGGAUCGUGGACUGGAACGUCCUCGUGAACCUGGAAUGUCUAGUAGGCGUAGGUCAUCAAUCUACGCCGGAUACGUCCCUGCCCCUUGUACACACCGCCCGUCGCUCCUACCGACUGGGUCUUCUGGCGAGCUCCUGGGAGGGAUGAACCGAACAGGGACGAACCGCGAGGCUUGGAGGAAGGAGAAGUCGUAACAAGGUAUCCGUAGGUGAACCUGCGGAUGGAUCCAUC